UACGGAGGGUGCAAGCGUUAAUCGGAAUGACUGGGCGUAAAGGGUGCGUAGGCGGUUUGCUAAGACGGAUGUGAAAUCCCUGGGCUCAACCUAGGAACAGCACACGUGACUGGCAGGCUAGAGUAUCGAAGAGGGGGGUAGAAUUCCACGUGUAGCAGUGAAAUGCGUAGAGAUGUGGAGGAAUACCGAUGGCGAAGGCAGCCCCCUGGUCAGAUACUGACGCUGAGGCACGAAAGCGUGGGGAGCGAACAGG
rnacentral:rRNA from 1 species